rnacentral:rRNA from 1 species
UGCAAGUCGAACGAUGAAGCCUAGCUUGCUAGGUGGAUUAGUGGCGAACGGGUGAGUAACACGUGAGCAACCUGCCCCGAACUUUGGGAUAAGCGCUGGAAACGGCGUCUAAUACCGAAUACGCACCAUGGCGGCAUCGUCAAUGGUGGGAAAGAUUUUUCGGUUCGGGAGGGGCUCGCGGCCUAUCAGCUUGUUGGUGAGGUAAUGGCUCACCAAGGCGUCGACGGGUAGCCGGCCUGAGAGGGUGACCGGCCACACUGGGACUGAGACACGGCCCAGACUCCUACGGGAGGCAGCAGUGGGGAAUAUUGCACAAUGGGCGCAAGCCUGAUGCAGCAACGCCGCGUGAGGGAUGACGGCCUUCGGGUUGUAAACCUCUUUUAGUAGGGAAGAAGCGAAAGUGACGGUACCUGCAGAAAAAGCACCGGCUAACUACGUGCCAGCAGCCGCGGUAAUACGUAGGGUGCAAGCGUUAUCCGGAAUUAUUGGGCGUAAAGAGCUCGUAGGCGGUUUGUCGCGUCUGCUGUGAAAACUAGAGGCUCAACUUCUAGCUUGCAGUGGGUACGGGCAGACUAGAGUGCGGUAGGGGAGAUUGGAAUUCCUGGUGUAGCGGUGGAAUGCGCAGAUAUCAGGAGGAACACCGAUGGCGAAGGCAGAUCUCUGGGCCGUAACUGACGCUGAGGAGCGAAAGAGUGGGGAGCAAACAGGCUUAGAUACCCUGGUAGUCCACUCCGUAAACGUUGGGAACUAGUUGUGGGGGCCUUUCUACGGUCUCCGUGACGCAGCUAACGCAUUAAGUUCCCCGCCUGGGGAGUACGGCCGCAAGGCUAAAACUCAAAGGAUUGACGGGGACCCGCACAAGCGGCGGAGCAUGCGGAUUAAUUCGAUGCAACGCGAAGAACCUU